rnacentral:piRNA from 1 species
UAACAACGAAAAGUGUGUGGGGUGU